rnacentral:lncRNA from 1 species
AAAAGAUAGCCGAGUACAGUACACCCGUGUCCCUCAGAAGAUGAGUACUCAAAAAGCAUUACGACUACCCGACACUCAGGACUACUACAAGCCAAGCUUAGCCCACUUGUCGGGGGCCCCGACUACUCCGACCCUGGGACCUAAGGUCGGGCGAGGCGGAGUUCCACCCCCGAAGGGUCGGGCGCCUCCGACCCCAGGACUUGGGGUCGGGCGAGGCGGAGUUCCACCCUCGGAGGGUCGGGCGCAUUCGACCCCAGGACUCGGGGGUCGGGCGAGGCGGAGUUCCACCCUCGAAGGGCAAUCGGCCGAUCCUCAACUGUAGCACCAAUCGGUCGAUUUCCAACCGUGACCUCUGUGUCUUGCCACAUCUCCUGAUUUCUUCCUUUCCUGACGCCGAUUUCAUACGUGUCAAAAUCUGGCGUCAACACAUGCCCCCCAGUUUCAGAGUAAAACAUAGUCUUUACUUCGAAAUUCUUUUCAACUUCCCUUCCGAAACAAACGCAUUGAAAAUAUCCUUCCGUUUCGUGUUCUCCAGCCUGAUGAUUGCAAUCUUUUCAAAACGGGCGCCCACGACAACCACUCCUCCCGAAAAAAUCGAAACGCCGGCGCGGUAAAAAUUCCGCUUUUACCCCUUCUCAGACUACCUUUAAAUAUCAGCACAUCCCGUACUCCUCCUUACGAGCUCACGUCUUCCUUCUUUAGCGCACUGGCCUUCUUCUACCUCCAGUGCCUUCCUUAGUUUCCAGUCUUUCCCCGGCAUCUCCUUCCAGCUACAUUCCUCCCUACUUUUCCAAUGGCGGCACCUUCAGGCACCUCACCAACACCCGAAGCUCUGGAGAUGGCUCCACCGGUAGAAGUUCCAGUGGCAACGGCGGCGGCUCCAUCGACGGGAGAAGGAGCUCCAUUGGCGGGAGUUGGGGCUUCAACCGAAGUCCCAUCAGUGGCUUCAGCAUCUGCAGCUCUACCGGCGAUCCCGCCAACUACGAUGAGCUUCAUCCCGGAGGUCAUUACCGAAACUUUCCUUAACAAUAAUGUAUUUACUUUAGAUCUGUUCUUACUUCCGUACCCC